rnacentral:rRNA from 1 species
GACGAACGCUGGCGGCGUGCUUAACACAUGCAAGUCGAACGGAAAGGCCCUGCUUUUGUGGGGUGCUCGAGUGGCGAACGGGUGAGUAACACGUGAGUAACCUGCCCUUGACUUUGGGAUAACUUCAGGAAACUGGGGCUAAUACCGGAUAGGAGCUCCUGCUGCAGGGUGGGGGUUGGAAAGUUUCGGCGGUUGGGGAUGGACUCGCGGCUUAUCAGCUUGUUGGUGGGGUAGUGGCUUACCAAGGCUUUGACGGGUAGCCGGCCUGAGAGGGUGACCGGCCACACUGGGCCUGAGCUACGGCCCAGACUCCUACGGGAGGCAGCAGUGGGGAAUAUUGCACAAUGGGCGGAAGCCUGAUGCAGCAACGCCGCGUGCGGGAUGACGGCCUUCGGGUUGUAAACCGCUUUCGCCUGUGACGAAGCGUGAGUGACGGUAAUGGGUAAAGAAGCACCGGCUAACUACGUG